UCCCGUGGUCAUACCGGUGAGGUCACACCCGAUCCCAUCCCGAACUCGGAAGUUAAGCUCACCUGGGCCAAUGGUACUAGCAGCCAGAUCUGCUGGAAGAGUAGGACGCUGCGGGAU
rnacentral:rRNA from 1 species